CAAUAGCGUAUAUUAAAGUUGUUGCGGUUAAAAGCUCGUAGUUGGAUUUCUGCCGAGGACGACCGGUCCGCCCUCUGGGUGAGUAUCUGGCUCGGCCUGGGCAUCUUCUUGGAGAACGUAGCUGCACUUGACUGUGUGGUGCGGUAUCCAGGACUUUUACUUUGAGGAAAUUAGAGUGUUUCAAGCAGGCACACGCCUUGAAUACAUUAGCAUGGAAUAAUAUUAUAGGACUUUUGUUCUAUUUUGUUGGUUUCUAGAACAGAGGUUAAUGAUUAAUAGGGACAAUUGGGGCGAUUCGUAUCAACACGUCAGAGGUGGAAUUCUUGGAUUGUGUUGCGACGAACUACUGC
rnacentral:rRNA from 1 species